rnacentral:rRNA from 1 species
UACGUAGGGUGCGAGCGUUGUCCGGAAUUAUUGGGUGUAAAGAGCUUGUAGGCGGUCUGUCGCGUCUGCUGUGAAAAUCCGGGGCUCAACCCCGGACUUGCAGUGGGUACGGGCAGACUAGAGUGUGGUAGGGGAGGACUGGAAUUCCUGGUGUAGCGGUGAAAUGCGCAGAUAUCAGGAGGAACACCGAUGGCGAAGGCAGGUCUCUGGGCCACUACUGACGCUGAGAAGCGAAAGCAUGGGGAGCGAACAGG